ACACCUUAAUUUUGGACUUCUACUCUCCAGAGCUGUGAGAGGAUACAUUUCGGUUAUUUUCAGCCACCCAGUUUACGGACUUUGUUAUGGCAGCCUUGGGAAGCAAAUGCACUCAGUACAUGUUAAUUUGUAUCUUACCUACUUUGUACUUGCAAGGUGUCUCUGGGUCUCUGGUGUACACCACGGCCUGCCCUUGAGCAUGCUGGGGUGCUCAGCACGGGGGUAGCCCUGCAGCCUGACUCUCUGUAGACAGAUCAGGAUCGGUCUAACAUGGAAUUAUGAAGUGGAGCCAGGGUCAGCUUUGGGCCACGCCUGCCUUCUGUGCCGGCCUUGGAUUAUGUUCAAAUUCAUCUCAUGCUACCCCAGCAGAAAAGAGUGUCUUCAAUAAAUUCACUCAAAAGGA
rnacentral:lncRNA from 10 species